rnacentral:SRP_RNA from 1 species
CGGGUCUUGCGCAACGGGAAGCCGUGAAUCGUGUCAGGGUGGGAACACAGCAGCACUAAGCGGAAGUUCUUGUGUGUCGUGAGGGUGCCUG